UUUUUCUUAACAUCUUAUUACUCUACUUUUUUUUUUUUUUUUUCCGUCUACUUCUCCUUCUUAAUUAUUUUGUUGUUAUCGUCAUGUCUGUUUUUUUUGUUAAAAGAGGCUUUAUUGGUUCAUAAUUUACACGAAAUUUUGAUGACU
rnacentral:sRNA from 1 species